rnacentral:sRNA from 1 species
CGAGGGAGGAGACUCCCGUCAGUGACUUCAUUGAGUAGGUUCUUGGGGAUUGGGGUCGGGUCCUCCCCAGGGAGAGGCGACAGGCGCUCACUGCCUCUCGGGCCCUCACAAUCACACCUGUCACAGGUAUACACACUGCCACUCACAAACACACGCUUGCACUCCCAGCCUCACUGACACGCUGCCAUACAGCCGCUCACAGCCAGCCAGACACUGCUGCACCUGAGAGCAGGUGGCCGCGGGUCUUCUCCCUUCACUCUCCACACCUGGGGAUCAGGUCCGGCACCUGCUGCGCCAGACAGGCCUUGCUGGCCACGCGCCUCUGAGAGUCCGAGGAGGUGGCUUCCAGAGCUGCAGCACUUCAGGCCGGCUCCGGUGGAGCGAUCAGAGGUGAGGGGCUUGGCUGGGCAUGUUUAAGCGCACAGUGCUCUCCUGCCCACCCCCAGCAGCACCCCCACUGCAGGCCCGAGGAGCUUUCCGGAGCUUCCCACACUCCUGGGGAGAAGACUUCUUAGCCAGCUUGAUGUUUAAAAUUCAGCUGGAGCCCUUAAAACUUCGAGCGUGGACGCUGAAUGGGUUUGUAAAGUUUCGGUAAGUCCCUCCGGAGAAGGGCACUCAUAUCCAUACCCAGUCAAACCCUCCACGCGGCCAUCCCCUCCAUUGCCUUCCUGCUUCCUCCACCUCAUCCUCAUCCCCUCUGUGACAUACAGGAAUCCCCUCCGGCCUCACCCACAUAUUUGAAUGAAUUGCACCCCUUAUCAUUCCUCUCUUUUCUCAAACCCUUCAGGUAUCCAUUUUCCGCAGACAUUUCCUCCAUUAUUUCAACUCUCUACAUUCCUCCCUUUCAACCCAUCAUUAACCCAUUUUCCACCUCAGCCAUUUCCAUCUGUCACUCAUCCCCCUCCAUCAGUACCUCAUUUUCUGUAUCAGCCAUCUCCCCUCCCUGUACCUCAACAGUCCCCCUCACCAUUUUCUCCCCAUUUUUCCUUCCUGCCUCUACCUUAACAUCCUCCUCAUUCUUCUCCAUCAAAGGCAGUGCCAUGCCAUGGGGCUCCUUUGUCAUUCCAACACGUGGCCUGUGGGUAGGGGGGAAGGGAAGGAGGGAGGAAAGCAGAAGGAGAAAAAGGAGGCAGAUCCUGAAAGAGCUUGCCCUGUGUCUGCGGAGGCAAGAGAUGUAUGGGCCUAGAGCAGCUAGCAGGUGGGUACCAGGGAGGAAGCUGGCCGGGUGCGGAGGUAAUGCAGGGACACCAAAAGGAGGUGGGUGGUUGGUGAGCCGUUCCACUGGCCCUCUGCCUGGAAGCUGCUCCCGUUCUCUAGGGGCACCUGCUUGGUGUGCUAGGGUUCUUUCCCAGUCCCAGGGGAAAGAAGGUGUGGGUUGAGGCAGAAAUGGCAGACCACCCCCAGCUCCCUCUCAGACGGCUAUUGCUGCCAUUUCCGAAAAUGGCUGCCCCCCACUCCAAGAGGUGCUCUUUCUUCUCUGCCUCUCCCAACCCCACCCCCCACCCCGUCUCCCCCACAGACGUGACAUGCUGGUGGGGGGCGAUGGGGGAGUACCCGCCUUUGUGGAGCCUUUUCUUCGUCAGAGAAAGGUGACUCCCAGAACCAUGAGUCAACCCAGCCACCUGCAGCAGGGCCUGUGGGGGCAGCAGUGAGGGCCAUUGUCCCUGCCCACCUAGGGCCUUGGGCGCCUCCCCCUUACCCGGUUACAGCCCUCACUCCUGCGGGGACACCCUGUACACCUCCCUGCUGUGAAGCAGAGGCAGAAAGGCAGGUCUCAGCUGUGGCUGCCAGCCUAGGACAUUGCUAGAAAGACUCUGGUUCUCCUGGCUUUGGCAGGGGUUGGCCAAGUCUCAGAAGGGCUGAGAAUGGCUUCUGGCCAUCCCCCAGAGAGCUCUAGCUACAGGAAAGUACCCCUUCCCCUGAUAUCCACCACAGACACACCGAUGGAGGGAGAUUGGAAUGAAGAAUUCGGGUUGUGCAUUUCUCUUUUAACAAAUGCUCCUGCACCCACCUUAAAAGGGACUCAGAGGAAUACGGGUCUGACGCUAGGCCAGAUCCUAAACCACAGGGUGGACUGGGGGCGUGGGGUGGGGCUAGGAGAGGUAUUAAGGAAAUGGUGGUUGGUUAGUGCCCAAUUGUCUCCUAACAGCUGGGGUUGAAAAAGUCCUGUCCCCAGGAUGCUUUUGUUCACUCACACUGGUGCUUAGGCGGCACAGCCCUCACAGUUUUGUGUGUAGACACUGGCAAAUGAGUAAAGAGAACUGUUGCCCUGGUUGGGGGAAGGAUAGUGUCGCCCCCACCGCUAAUGAGGGAGUUGGAAACAGCAGUUUCCAAAGGCUGUGAGUCACCCUGUGAUCUGAGUCACACGUGAGGCUUAGCAUCGUCAGAGGGGUGGGGGUGGGGAGGCCUGGGGUCUCCAGUGGCAGACAGGACUCCAGACACCCAUUCCCUGACUCAGUCUGGCUGGCCAGGACAGCUGGCAGAAGACCCAGGCCUGUUCCCAGUCCUGGGCCACUGCCCCAGCUGCCCUCAGCCUGGGCACCAUGCCUGAGGCGUGGCGUAGGAGACCACGAUGCUCAGGUGACCUCACCCGUUACACUGACCUUCGCCAGCUCCUGUGUGUGGGUUGCUCAGUCCAUGGUGCCACCUCGCUCAGCAGGGCCUCUCAGAGGUCCUCAGUCUGGCCCAAGGACCAGGGCCUCAGCCUAGCCCCAAGAGUGGGCCAGAACCUUCAGCUUCCUGCUGGGAAAACCCAGGAGGUGAGGACGGAAUCACAGAAUUCUAGAAUGUCAGAGCCAGAAGAGAUCAUCUAGUGCAAACCUUUCAUUUUACAGAUGGGGGGACACAGGCCCACAGAACAGGCAUGACCUGCCGAAGGUUACCCAGGGAGUCAUUUAGGGACUGCAAGAUCAUCAGGAACAGGGCAGGGGCAGAAGAGAAGGCAUCAAGUCUUGGCCCUGGGUUUCUUUCAGAAACAAGGAGACCAGUGCUGGUCCAGUAGCUGUGAUGGGAAAAGAUUAUUACAAGAUUCUUGGGAUCCCAUCGGGGGCCAACGAGGAUGAGAUCAAGAAAGCCUACCGGAAGAUGGCCUUGAAGUACCACCCAGACAAGAAUAAAGAACCCAACGCUGAGGAGAAGUUUAAGGAGAUUGCAGAGGCCUAUGAUGUGCUAAGUGACCCCAAGAAACGGGGCCUGUAUGACCAGUAUGGGGAGGAAGGCCUGAAGACCGGCGGUGGCACGUCAGGUGGCUCCAGUGGCUCCUUUCACUACACCUUUCACGGGGACCCCCAUGCCACCUUUGCCUCCUUCUUUGGUGGCUCCAACCCCUUCGAUAUCUUCUUUGCCAGCAGCCGCUCCACUCGGCCCUUCAGUGGCUUUGACCCAGAUGACAUGGAUGUGGAUGAAGAUGAGGACCCAUUUGGCGCUUUCGGCCGUUUUGGCUUCAAUGGGCUGAGUAGGGGUCCAAGGCGAGCCCCAGAACCACUGUACCCUCGGCGCAAGGUGCAGGACCCCCCAGUGGUGCACGAGCUGCGGGUGUCCCUGGAGGAGAUCUACCAUGGCUCCACCAAGCGCAUGAAGAUCACGAGGCGUCGCCUCAACCCUGAUGGGCGAACUGUGCGCACCGAGGACAAGAUCCUGCACAUAGUCAUCAAGCGUGGCUGGAAGGAAGGCACCAAGAUCACCUUCCCCAAAGAGGGUGACGCCACACCUGACAACAUCCCUGCUGACAUCGUCUUUGUGCUCAAAGACAAGCCCCAUGCACACUUCCGCCGAGAUGGCACCAACGUGCUCUACAGUGCCCUGAUCAGCCUCAAGGAGGCGCUGUGUGGCUGCACUGUGAACAUUCCCACCAUCGACGGCCGAGUGAUCCCUUUGCCCUGCAAUGAUGUCAUCAAGCCAGGCACCGUGAAGAGACUCCGUGGGGAGGGCCUUCCCUUCCCCAAAGUGCCAACUCAGCGGGGAGACCUCAUUGUUGAGUUCAAAGUUCGCUUCCCAGACAGAUUAACGCCACAGACAAGACAGAUCCUUAAGCAGCACCUACCCUGUUCCUAGGCUCUGCCCCAGCCAGUCCAGAGCCUACCACAGCAAUACCCCCAACACUCACUCCACUCAAUGUGCACCCAGCUUGAUGUCCACUGGACACUGGCAACUUUUUCUAAAAUGCAAAAAAAAAGCCACUGGUUUUCAGGAAAAUGUUCCUGUCCCUGACCCCUUUCAGAGCUGGGCGGCCAGCGGGGAGUGGGAGGGAGGUGGGGAGAGCUAGCCCAGGCCAGGGGUCAAUGUUCAUGUCACUAGCUUUGAAUCCAGUUUCCACUGCAGUGGCUGGAGAGUGACCUGAGUGCUACUUGAAGAUAUGUAGAGAUUCCUUAUCCAUGCCUGUACAUAGCAUGUCCUCCUCCCCUCAGCUUUGCUAAUACCAGUCCCCCUCCCUUCCCUUUGGCUUCCUGCUGUUGGGGGUGGAAGAGACUAGAAAGGACAUUGCUUUCUCAGCCCCACCCCCAGGUCCACAGUGUCCAAGGUUAUGGCACACAUAUUCAUGCACAAGAAGCACUCACCUAGAGCUGUCUGUGCCUCUCUGGGAGAGAGGAGAAAGGAUAAGAAGGGAAAGUUCACAACCUGUGAACAGGGACUUGAGCACGAGACACUUUUCCUCUGGAGCAGGGGGGUGAGCUCCUCAGCAGCCUCCGCAACAGCUGCCCUGCCUACACCUGCAGAGCUGGAGGUUCUGUCCUCCCUGCUGCUCUCAGGAGUAUUCAGGGGUGGAGGGCAGGGAAUGGGGCCUGAGGUAUUAAGGCUAAGAGGUGGGGGACAGGGCCCAUCUCCCAGCCUUCAUCAGGAAGGGAAAGGGCUUUGGGGUCAGGUGGCAGCUAUUCCCCACCAAGAGAUUCAGGGUCACAGGUUUUUCCCCACACCUCUGAACUCAGGGCCUAGCCACCCCCAAACUUCCAAAUCCCACUUUUGUGAUAUGUGAAGCUACUUAUUUCUUACCCUUGGAGGCUGUGUGGGGAAUUUCCAGCCCUUUUAUGCCUGUGUGAUCCCACCCCACCCCCACAGUUGUAUAAAGGUCAUAGUGAAGGAGCUGGGGGAAGACUGCUUCAGCCAGAUCCUGGGGUGGGGUCUUUAGGUUUUCUCACUUUGACAAGCCCCUGAAUGUUUUUAUAGUAGUUUUUUUGUAUUUUUUUGUAAUGACAGUAUUAUGUAAAAAAUAAAGUAUUUUAAAAAUA